rnacentral:rRNA from 1 species
AUGCCCAAUGGUAACUUAGAGACACUGCUUCUCUUCCUGCUAGGCGGCGAGAGGCAAUUCGGGUUCCGUGAGAGCCUAGGCGUUAUGCUCAAGCCAAGCAAUGUGCUCUUUGACGAGGACAUGAUUGCACAUGUCGCAAAUUUUGGCACUGCAAGGCUACUAGAAGUUGAUGAUGGAUUUGCGUUCGCCAUGAGCAUGUGUGGCACAACUGGGUACAUGUCACCAGAGUAUGGGUUGUAUGGGAAAGUGUCACUAAACAACAAUGUGUUUACUUAUGAGAUCAUGCUCCUUGAAGUCUUUAGUGGAAAGAGGUCGGCAUAUGCUAUGUUUGUUGGAGAAUUGAGCCUAGAUGGUGGGUUCACUAGUUGUUUCAGGCAGAUCAGCUUGCUCAUGCUGUGGAUAGACGACUACUCAAUGCUCCGACAUGGGCAUUGA